GCCCUUUCAUCUCCAGCGCUGGGCCCUUUCAUCUCCAGCACUGGGCCUUUACAUCUCCAGCGCUGGACCUUUACUUGUCCAGCACUGGGCCUUUACAUCUCCAGUGCUGGGCCCUUACAUCUCCAGAGCUGGGCCCUUUCAUCUCCAGCGCUGGGCCCUUUCAUCUCCAGCGCCGGGCCCUUAACAUCUCCAGCGCCGGGCCCUUUCAUCUCCAGCGCCGGGCCCUUACAUCUCCAGCGCCGGGCCCUUAACAUCUCCAGCGCCGGGCUCUUUCAUCUCCAGCGCCGGGCCCUUACAUCUCCAGCGCCGGGCCCUUACAUCUCCAGCGCCGGGCCCUUUCAUCUCCAGCGCCGGGCCCUUUCAUCUCCAGCGCCGGGCCCUUAACAUCUCCAGCGCCGGGCCCUUUCAUCUCCAGCGCCGGGCCCUUAACAUCUCCAGCGCCGGGCCCUUAACAUCUCCAGCGCCGGGCCCUUAACAUCUCCAGCGCCGGGCCCUUAACAUCUCCAGCGCCGGGCCCUUUCAUCUCCAGCGCCGGGCCUUUACAUCUCCAGCGCCGGGCCUUUACAUCUCCAGAGCUGGGCCUUUACAUCUCCAGGGCUGGGCCCUUAAAUCUCCAGCACUGGGCCUUUAUAUCUCCAGCGCUGGGCCCUUCACAACUCCAGCGCUGGGCCCUUCACAUCUCCAGCGCUGGGCCCUUCACGUCUCCAGCGCUGGGUCCUUCACAUCUCCAGCACUGGGCCUUCACAUCUCCAGGGCUGGGCCCUUAAAUCUCCAGCACUGGGCCUUUAUAUCUCCAGCAGCAAUAUAAAGCCGAGGACCCAGCAAGUGUUCACCUCUGGAGAAUUUGAUGAAUUCUAUGCAUCUGAAAGGCCUCCGAUGCUUAAGACCUUUUUUUUCUUUUCAAGUCUCGAACAUUUAUUGAACACGUAUAUGUGCCAAGCGCUAUUCUCAAACUGCCCCAUGAGGAAUGGACCACAGAGCUCCAUUUUACAGAUGGGGAAACUGAGAUGGGAGGAUGAGCCUGAGACCACACAGGAAGCAAAGCCUACAGCUUCCAAGAUGAAGCAUGGAAUUCCAGACUGAGGGGCUUUACAAGUUCAUCUCUCUCCCUACAUCCAACUCAGUCUGCUCCUACAACAGAUCCCACUGCCAGAGAGACAGUAA
rnacentral:lncRNA from 1 species